ACGCUAUCACUCCUACGGGGAGGCAGCAGUGGGGAAUAUUGCACAAUGGGGGGAAACCCUGAUGCAGCCAUGCCGCGUGUGUGAAAGAAGGCCUUCGGGGUUGUAAAAGCACUUUCAGUAGGGAGGAAGGUAGUGUAGUUAACACCUGCAUUAUUUGACGUUACCUACAGAAGAAGCACCGGCUAACUCCGUGCCAGCAGCCGCGGUAAUACGGAGGGUGCGAGCGUUAAUCGGAAUUACUGGGCGUAAAGCGCAUGCAGGCGGCCUGUUAAGUCAGAUGUGAAAGCCCGGGGCUUAACCUCGGAAUUGCAUUUGAAACUGGCAGGCUAGAGUCUUAGUNGAAGGGGGGGAUAGAAUUUCAGGUGUAGCGGUGAAAUGCGUAGAGAUCUGAAGGAAUACCAGUGGCGAAGGCGGCCCCCUGGACAGAUACUGACACUCAGAUGCGAAAGCGUGGGGAGCAAACAGGAUUAGAUACCCUGGUAG
rnacentral:rRNA from 1 species